AAAUCCCUAGCCAAGCCUUAUCUCUUCCCAUUCCGUUUCUCAGUCCACGAGACAGCAGUCCACAAGAGCACGCCGCCGCCGCUGGUCCCGAUUCCGAUCCGGCCGGUGCGGCCACUUCGCCUCCGCCCCGUCCCACACCACCGGCCGCGCGCCUCGCCCCGCCUCCUCGCCGGCUUAUCCCAUCCGCCGCCUGCCACACCCGCCAAGAACUACUGCCGUUGCGCUCGACAACCACCAAUCCACCCUAGCCGCUAGAGCUCCGCCCCCAUCCCUCCUCUCCGCUAUUCUCUGGACUGUCACCGCGGGAUCUGUACCGCCACCCCGUCGCCACAGGAUCUGGACUGCCUGCAUCCCCGCCGUUUCUCCUCGCAGAGGUGGUCCUGUACAUGCUCACACCCCCAAGCUGCCGGCGACUUCAGUCUGAAUGGCAAGUGCAAGAGGAAAGGAUAAAGAUGGUGGGGUCACGUCGGACAAACUAAAGGCAGUUGAAUAUCAAUUACAAAGAAUUAGGCAAAUAGAAGAAAAUAGCAAGAAGCUGGCAAUUGUUCGUGAAAGACGAGAUGCACUUAGAGGUCAUAUGGAAGCAACCCAACCUCCUAACAAGAAAAUAAAGGCAUCCUCCAGAAUACCUGACAGUAGAAAUGAACAGCGUGUUUUAAGGUCGAGUGCAAGAAAAGAUGAUCUUGUAGAUUCUGGACAACAACCUUCGAAAGAGGUUAUUCAUGAGCUUGAUGGUAAUGGUAAUGGUGAAAAGAAAGGUGGAAGAAAAAUUACUCAGAAGUUAAACAUUUAUUCGAGGUAGACUAAACCUAAAAUCAAAAUUCCAUUUAAUGAGCUUGGCCAGCCUUAUGGGGCAGAUGCAACUGAAUUUGCAAAUUUCAUUGGUACUUUGGUGAGGAAGCAUAUAUCACCUGCGAAGUUAGAUUGGAGAGAUGUUGAGCUGGAAGCACAGAAGUCACUGGUGUGGAAUCACUUACAGGCUUUCUAUGAGCUGGACUAAAUGGAAGGAAUGGAAGGCUGAUUUAAAGAAGACAAAGUUUGAUCCUGAAUUGACUGAUGAACAACUUAUGAGAAGAUGUGAUGGGAGAAUUAGUAAACGUGAUUGGGCUACCCUUAUUGAAUAUUGGCGAUCUCCAGAAUUUGAAGCUCGCAGUGCAAGAGCGAAAGAGAAUCGUGCCAAGUCGACGGUGUCGCAUACAACUGGCUGAUGAACUUGGGUAUGCCCCUCGGAGAGAUGAAGUUUUCAUCAAAACACGUACACGCAAGAAUGGGGACAAUUUAUCACAGGCAGCGCCAAUAAUUAAACAACUCGUUGAAGAAGCCGAAAACCACCCUGACUGGAAGGAAAAAAGUAUUCAGGAAGGUGACCUAUAUGCACGUGUUUGUGGAAUGAAGGAACCAAGGGGUCGUGUCCAUGUAUUAGGUAUGGGGCCAACACCAACUGAUCUGGGCACACCGGGUACACAGGUCCGAAUGACCACAAGGGUUCUUGUGGAAAUUGAAGCACGUUGACAAGCUGAACAACGCCUGGACUCGAUGCAGGAGCAGAUGCAACGAAUGCAGCAACAACUGAACCAAUUGAUUUCACAAGGAGGUCAUAUUGUGGGGACUCCUAGCUCUCAACAUGGUUCUAAUUCUCGACUGAACUCAAGAGAACCUGAGGAACGUAAUGACGAUGAAGAAGGCGAUGAUGAAGACACCUAUAUGCAUAGAAGAGUUAUAAGGGUCCCCCAAAGUAGUUUCCCAAAUCACCAAGAUGGAAGCCUGAUAAUUUAUCUUCUAAUCCUUUCCUACAUAUUUAAACAUUUUUGUUUGCAUGUUCCUAAAAUAAAUAUCUCUCAGAUUGGUAUGGAUGUGCUUCUGCUUGCUUGGAAUGGUCCUGAAACUCCUGUUGCUAAGGCGACGAUUAUCUCAAUCGCUGAAAACACUAUUGUUGGCGGGGAGCCCCUUGGGCUAGAGAAUUAUGAGGUGAUCGUCAAUGUUGCGAUUAGAAGGGAAUCUACGCUACCUUUUUAGUAUGAUGGUUUACGAUACAUCAGCGAUGCUGUCAAGAUGUCCAUUGCAUGGCCAUCAAGCAAGAUGAAGCCCUACAAGACUGCUGCAGCAUUAUCCUCCACAUGUCGCUAAGGGAUGGUAUGCGUAAGGACAAAGAACCAAGAAGCUGGCGGGCGAGAAACCAUGAAGUCGGGGUUUCUGUCAAAUGGAUAUUUUGUGUAAUGGAGCAAACAAUGAAUUAUUUUGUAAACUUGUAUGGUUUCUUGAACAUUGAACGAUGGUGUUUCCUUUAGUUUAUGAGAAUCUGAAUGGUAACUAUGUAUCGAAGAUAUGAAUUAUUUAUGUGUGUCAAAGCUUACUGUUGUGAUAUAUGUAA